AUUGAACGCUGGCGGCAGGCCUAACACAUGCAAGUCGAGCGGAGCGGCGGACGGGUGAGUAAUGCCUAGGAAUCUGCCUGGUAGUGGGGGAUAACGUCCGGAAACGGGCGCUAAUACCGCAUACUAUCAGAUGAGCCUAGGUCGGAUGAGCUAGUUGGUGGGGUAAAGGCCACCAAAGGCGACGAUCCGUAACUGGUCUGAGAGGAUGAUCAGUCACACUGGAACUGAGAUACGGUCCAGACUCCUACGGUAGUCAGCAGUGGGGAAUAUUGGACAAUGGUCGAAAGCCUGAUCCAGCCAUGCCGCGUGUAUGAAGAAGGCCCUAGGGUUGUAAAGUACUUUCAGUCGGGAGGCGUUACCGACAGAAGAAGCACCGGCUAACUCCGUGCCAGCAGCCGCGGUAAUUC
rnacentral:rRNA from 1 species